rnacentral:tRNA from 1 species
GCCUUCGUGGUGUAGUGGUCAGCACGCUCGGUGCGUAUUCUAGAAGUCCGAGGUUCGAAUCCCGCGAGGGCA